GGUGGCUCAGUGGUAGAGCCCUUGCCUCGCAUGCACGAGGCCCUGGGUUCGAUUCCUCAGCACCA
rnacentral:tRNA from 1 species